rnacentral:snRNA from 1 species
GGCAAGUCAUCCUUGGCUG